rnacentral:rRNA from 1 species
UGAGGAAUAUUGGUCAAUGGGCGAGAGCCUGAACCAGCCAAGUAGCGUGCAGGAUGACGGCCCUAUGGGUUGUAAACUGCUUUUAUAAGGGAAUAAAGUGGGUCACGUGUGACUUUUUGCAUGUACCUUAUGAAUAAGGACCGGCUAAUUCCGUGCCAGCAGCCGCGGUAAUACGGAAGGUCCGGGCGUUAUCCGGAUUUAUUGGGUUUAAAGGGAGCGUAGGCCGGAGAUUAAGCGUGUUGUGAAAUGUAGUGGCUCAACCUCUGCACUGCAGCGCGAACUGGUCUUCUUGAGUACGCACAACGUGGGCGGAAUUCGUGGUGUAGCGGUGAAAUGCUUAGAUAUCACGAAGAACUCCGAUUGCGAAGGCAGCUCACGGGAGCGCAACUGACGCUGAAGCUCGAAAGUGCGGGUAUCGAACAGGA